rnacentral:rRNA from 1 species
CCUACGGGAGGCAGCAGUGGGGAAUUUUCCGCAAUGGGCGCAAGCCUGACGGAGCAACGCCGCGUGAGGGAGGAAGGCCUGUGGGUCGUAAACCUCUUUUCUCAAGGAAGAAUUUUGACGGUACUUGAGGAAUCAGCAUCGGCUAACUCCGUGCCAGCAG